UACGUAGGUGGCAAGCGUUGUCCGGAAUUAUUGGGCGUAAAGCGCGCGCAGGUGGUUUCUUAAGUCUGAUGUGAAAGCCCACGGCUCAACCGUGGAGGGUCAUUGGAAACUGGGAGACUUGAGUGCAGAAGAGGAUAGUGGAAUUCCAAGUGUAGCGGUGAAAUGCGUAGAGAUUUGGAGGAACACCAGUGGCGAAGGCGGCAUCCUGGACCGAGAUUGACGCUGAUGCGCGAAAGCCAGGGGAGCAAACGGG
rnacentral:rRNA from 1 species